UACGUAGGGGGCUAGCGUUGUCCGGAAUCAUUGGGCGUAAAGAGCGUGUAGGCUGCUCGGUAAGUCCGCUGUAAAAGUCAAAGGCUCAACCUUUGAAUGUCAGUGGAUACUGCCGGGCUAGAGUCCGGAAGAGGCGAGUGGAAUCCGUGGUAGCGGUGAAAUGCGCAGAUAUCAGGAGGAACACCGGUGGCGAAGGCGGGUCUCUGGGCCGAUACUGACGCUGAGGAGCGAAAGCGUGGGGAGCGAACAGG
rnacentral:rRNA from 1 species